GACGAACGCUGGCGGCGUGCUUAACACAUGCAAGUCGAACGGAAAGGCCCUGCUUUUGUGGGGUGCUCGAGUGGCGAACGGGUGAGUAACACGUGAGUAACCUGCCCUUGACUUUGGGAUAACUUCAGGAAACUGGGGCUAAUACCGGAUAGGAGCUCCUGCUGCAUGGUGGGGGUUGGAAAGUUUCGACGGUUGGGGAUGGACUCGCGGCUUAUCAGCUUGUUGGUGGGGUAGUGGCUUACCAAGGCUUUGACGGGUAGCCGGCCUGAGAGGGUGACCGGCCACAUUGGGACUGAGAUACGGCCCAGACUCCUACGGGGGGCAGCAGUGGGGAAUAUUGCACAAUGGGCGGAAGCCUGAUGCAGCAACGCCGCGUGCGGGAUGACGGCCUUCGGGUUGUAAACCGCUUUCGCCUGUGACGAAGCGUGAGUGACGGUAAUGGGUAAAGAAGCACCGGCUAACUACGUG
rnacentral:rRNA from 1 species